rnacentral:rRNA from 1 species
GGGAUAACAGUCCGAAAGGGCUGCUAAUACCGCAUACAUUCGAGGUUUCCAGAAAGCCUUGAAGAAACUUCCGGGGCGCGCGGAGGGGGCUGCGGCCCAUCAGGUAGUUGGUGCGGUAACGGCGCACCAAGCCAACGACGGGUAGGGGGCCUGAGAGGGUUACCCCCCUCACUGGGACAGACACUCGGNCCAGACNCCNACUGGAGGCAGCAUUAAGGGAUAUUGCGNAAUGGGUGNAAGCCUGACGCUU